rnacentral:rRNA from 1 species
UUGAGAGUGGCGAACGGGUGCGUAACGCGUAUGCAACCUACCCUAUACAGGGGGAUAGCCCGGAGAAAUCUGGAUUAAUACCCCAUGGUACCAAGUUGAGGCAUUUUGAUUUGGUUAAAGAUUCAUCGGUAUAGGAUGGGCAUGCGUCUGAUUAGCUAGUUGGCGGUGUAACGGACCACCAAGGCGACGAUCAGUAGGGGUUCUGAGAGGAAGGUCCCCCACACUGGCACUGAGAUACGGGCCAGACUCCUACGGGAGGCAGCAGUAGGGAAUAUUGGGCAAUGGACGAGAGUCUGACCCAGCCAUGCCGCGUGCAGGAAGACGGCGUUCUGCGUUGUAAACUGCUUUUAUCUGGGAAGAAAAUGCCCUUGCGAGGGAAAUUGCCGGUACCAGAUGAAUAAGCACCGGCUAACUCCGUGCCAGCAGCCGCGGUAAUACGGAGGGUGCAAGCGUUGUCCGGAUUUAUUGGGUUUAAAGGGUGCGUAGGCGGCUAUUUAAGUCAGUGGUGAAAGACUCCGGCUCAACCGGAGCAGUGCCAUUGAUACUGGAUAGCUUGAGUAUUGGAGGGGUACAUGGAAUUGAUGGUGUAGCGGUGAAAU